rnacentral:rRNA from 1 species
AUGAACGCUGGCGGCGUGCCUAAUACAUGCAAGUCGAGCGAACGGACGAGAAGCUUGCUUUUCUGAUGUUAGCGGCGGACGGGUGAGUAACACGUGGAUAACCUACCUAUAAGACUGGGAUAACUUCGGGAAACCGGAGCUAAUUCCGGAUAAUAUUUUGAACCGCAUGGUUCAAAAGUGAAAGACGGUCUUGCUGUCACUUAUAGAUGGAUCCGCGCUGCAUUAGCUAGUUGGUAAGGUAACGGCUUACCAAGGCAACGAUGCAUAGCCGACCUGAGAGGGUGAUCGGCCACACUGGAACUGAGACACGGUCCAGACUCCUACGGGAGGCAGCAGUAGGGAAUCUUCCGCAAUGGGCGAAAGCCUGACGGAGCAACGCCGCGUGAGUGAUGAAGGUCUUCGGAUCGUAAAACUCUGUUAUUAGGGAAGAACAUAUGUGUAAGUAACUGUGCACAUCUUGACGGUACCUAAUCAGAAAGCCACGGCUAACUACGUG